UUAAGCGACUAAGCGUACACGGUGGAUGCCCUGGCAGUCAGAGGCGAUGAAGGACGUGCUAAUCUGCGAAAAGCGUCGGUAAGGUGAUAUGAACCGUUACAGCCGGCGAUGUCCGAAUGGGGAAACCCAGUGUGAUUCGUCACACUAUCGUUAACUGAAUACAUAGGUUAACGAGGCGAACCGGGGGAACUGAAACAUCUAAGUACCCCGAGGAAAAGAAAUCAACCGAGAUUCCCCCAGUAGCGGCGAGCGAACGGGGAGCAGCCCAGAGUCUGAAUCAGCUUGUGUGUUAGUGGAACGGUCUGGAAAGUCCGACGGUACAGGGUGAUAGUCCCGUACACCAAAAUGCACAGGUUGUGAACUCGAAGAGUAGGGCGGGACACGUGGUAUCCUGUCUGAAUAUGGGGGGACCAUCCUCCAAGGCUAAAUACUCCUGACUGACCGAUAGUGAACCAGUACCGUGAGGGAAAGGCGAAAAGAACCCCGGCGAGGGGAGUGAAAAAGAACCUGAAACCGUGUACGUACAAGCAGUGGGAGCACCUUCGGGUGUGACUGCGUACCUUUUGUAUAAUGGGUCAGCGACUUAUAUUCUGUAGCAAGGUUAACCGUAUAGGGGAGCCGCAGGGAAACCGAGUCUUAACUGGGCGUUAAGUUGCAGGGUAUAGACCCGAAACCCGGUGAUCUAGCCAUGGGCAGGUUGAAGGUUGGGUAACACUAACUGGAGGACCGAACCGACUAAUGUUGAAAAAUUAGCGGAUGACUUGUGGCUGGGGGUGAAAGGCCAAUCAAACCGGGAGAUAGCUGGUUCUCCCCGAAAGCUAUUUAGGUAGCGCCUCGUGAAUUCAUCUUCGGGGGUAGAGCACUGUUUCGGCUAGGGGGUCAUCCCGACUUACCAACCCGAUGCAAACUACGAAUACCGAAGAAUGUUAUCACGGGAGACACACGGCGGGUGCUAACGUCCGUCGUGAAGAGGGAAACAACCCAGACCGCCAGCUAAGGUCCCAAAGUCAUGGUUAAGUGGGAAACGAUGUGGGAAGGCACAGACAGCCAGGAUGUUGGCUUAGAAGCAGCCAUCAUUUAAAGAAAGCGUAAUAGCUCACUGGUCGAGUCGGCCUGCGCGGAAGAUGUAACGGGGCUAAACCAUGCACCGAAGCUGCGGCAGCGACACUAUGUGUUGUUGGGUAGGGGAGCGUUCUGUAAGCCUGCGAAGGUGACCUGUGAGGGUUGCUGGAGGUAUCAGAAGUGCGAAUGCUGACAUAAGUAACGAUAAAGCGGGUGAAAAGCCCGCUCGCCGGAAGACCAAGGGUUCCUGUCCAACGUUAAUCGGGGCAGGGUGAGUCGACCCCUAAGGCGAGGCCGAAAGGCGUAGUCGAUGGGAAACAGGUUAAUAUUCCUGUACUUGGUGUUACUGCGAAGGGGGGACGGAGAAGGCUAUGUUAGCCGGGCGACGGUUGUCCCGGUUUAAGCAUGUAGGCUGAUUGUCCAGGCAAAUCCGGAUAAUCAAGGCUGAGGUGUGAUGACGAGGCACUACGGUGCUGAAGUAACAAAUGCCCUGCUUCCAGGAAAAGCCUCUAAGCAUCAGGUAACAUUAAAUCGUACCCCAAACCGACACAGGUGGUCAGGUAGAGAAUACCAAGGCGCUUGAGAGAACUCGGGUGAAGGAACUAGGCAAAAUGGUGCCGUAACUUCGGGAGAAGGCACGCUGGUGUGUAGGUGAAGCCCCUGCGGGUGGAGCUGAGACCAGUCGAAGAUACCAGCUGGCUGCAACUGUUUAUUAAAAACACAGCACUGUGCAAACACGAAAGUGGACGUAUACGGUGUGACGCCUGCCCGGUGCCGGAAGGUUAAUUGAUGGGGUUAUCCGUAAGGAGAAGCCCUUGAUCGAAGCCCCGGUAAACGGCGGCCGUAACUAUAACGGUCCUAAGGUAGCGAAAUUCCUUGUCGGGUAAGUUCCGACCUGCACGAAUGGCGUAAUGAUGGCCAGGCUGUCUCCACCCGAGACUCAGUGAAAUUGAACUCGCUGUGAAGAUGCAGUGUACCCGCGGCAAGACGGAAAGACCCCGUGAACCUUUACUAUAGCUUGACACUGAACAUUGAGCCUUGAUGUGUAGGAUAGGUGGGAGGCUUUGAAGCGUGGACGCCAGUCUGCGUGGAGCCAACCUUGAAAUACCACCCUUUAAUGUUUGAUGUUCUAACGUUGGCCCCUGACCGGGGUUGCGGACAGUGUCUGGUGGGUAGUUUGACUGGGGCGGUCUCCUCCCAAAGCGUAACGGAGGAGCACGAAGGUUAGCUAAUCCUGGUCGGACAUCAGGAGGUUAGUGCAAUGGCAUAAGCUAGCUUGACUGCGAGCGUGACGGCGCGAGCAGGUGCGAAAGCAGGUCAUAGUGAUCCGGUGGUUCUGAAUGGAAGGGCCAUCGCUCAACGGAUAAAAGGUACUCCGGGGAUAACAGGCUGAUACCGCCCAAGAGUUCAUAUCGACGGCGGUGUUUGGCACCUCGAUGUCGGCUCAUCACAUCCUGGGGCUGAAGUAGGUCCCAAGGGUAUGGCUGUUCGCCAUUUAAAGUGGUACGCGAGCUGGGUUUAGAACGUCGUGAGACAGUUCGGUCCCUAUCUGCCGUGGGCGCUGGAGAAUUGAGGGGGGCUGCUCCUAGUACGAGAGGACCGGAGUGGACGCAUCACUGGUGUUCGGGUUGUCAUGCCAAUGGCACUGCCCGGUAGCUAAAUGCGGAAGAGAUAAGUGCUGAAAGCAUCUAAGCACGAAACUUGCCCCGAGAUGAGUUCUCCCUGAGACUUUAAGUCUCCUGAAGGAACGUUGAAGACGACGACGUUGAUAGGCCGGGUGUGUAAGCGCAGCGAUGCGUUGAGCUAACCGGUACUAAUGAACCGUGAGGCUUAACCUU
rnacentral:rRNA from 1 species